UACGUAGGCAGCGAGCGUUGUUCGGAAUUACUUGGCGUAGAGAGUGUGUAGGCGGUGUUCACUGUCUGUUGUGAAAUCUCCCGGCUUAACUGGGAGGGUGCAGCGGAAACUAGAAUGCUAGAGGGUGGGAGAGGUAAGCGGAAUUCCUGGUGUAGCGGUGAAAUGCGUAGAUAUCAGGAGGAACACCUGUGGUGUAGACAGCUUACUGGACCACUUCUGACGCUGAGACACGAAAGCGUGGGUAGCAAACAGG
rnacentral:rRNA from 1 species